GAGAGUUUGAUCAUGGCUCAGAGUGAACGCUGGCGGCAGGCCUAAUACAUGCAAGUCGAACGGCAGCACGGCAGAGCUUGCUCUGUGGGUGGCGAGUGGCGGACGGGUGAGGAAUACAUGGGAAUCUGCCCAGUCGUGGGGGAUAACGUAGGGAAACUUACGCUAAUACCGCAUGCGCCCUUCGGGGGAAAGCCGGGGACCUUCGGGCCUGGCGCGAUUGGAUGAGCCCAUGUCGGAUUAGCUAGUUGGCGGGGUAAUGGCCCACCAAGGCGACGAUCCGUAGCUGGUCUGAGAGGAUGAUCAGCCACACUGGAACUGAGACACGGUCCAGACUCCUACGGGAGGCAGCAGUAGGGAAUAUUGGACAAUGGGCGCAAGCCUGAUCCAGCCAUGCCGCGUGAGUGAAGAAGGCCCUCGGGUUGUAAAGCUCUUUUGUCCGGAAAGAAAAGCGCCGGGUUAAUACCCUGGUGUCCUGACGGUACCGGAAGAAUAAGCACCGGCUAACUUCGUG
rnacentral:rRNA from 1 species